UGUACAUCCUAUUACCGUACAAAGAGGCCGCCCAGUCGCCGCACCCGGAGAACAGACGCUGCUGCCCAAGUGCCUGCAAAUACCUAUCACCAGAAAGGCUGCAAUUUGUCACCGCAAACGGAAUUGUUGCCCGACAGCGAUUCAGCACAUUCACAUUUGUUGGGGAGCCGGGAUGCGAAGCACGAGCCUAUAUUAAAGCAAAAUAGAAGAUUUAUGAUGUGCGCUAGGCCAGCUGUCAUUCGCUGAUCUUCCGGCUGAUGUUGAAACAGAAGGCCUGGAUUUUCUGAUGUGCAGGGCAAGCUGAAAACUGAUGAGUCCAUAACAGCCUGAAAAACACAGAUUGCGGUUCUGGGGUCUGCUCCCACCAGGGGAUUUGUUGGGGGGGAUGAAAAGAGACGAACGUUUGAACGGUGACCCGACGACAAAGGGAGGAUGCAGAAACAGUUUUCUAUGCCGGUCCGUAAAAGUGCCUCCUUCAGGACAUCCAGAAGAUACGAGCAGCCUACCAUUGCAUCUAAAUCCCGCUCCCCUUCACCCUACACCAACAGGCGCAUGUGUGAAUUAUCUGAAGACUCCAAACAAAGAUUGCCCCAUUUCAACCUGGGACCCUAUGAAUUCAAGAAAGAGACUGAAAACAAGCCCCUCUUUGUA